rnacentral:rRNA from 1 species
UUUAUUGGAGAGUUUGAUCCUGGCUCAGGAUGAACGCUGGCGGCGUGCCUAAUACAUGCAAGUYGAGCGAAUGGAUUAAGAGCUUGCUCUUAUGAAGUUAGCGGCGGACGGGUGAGUAACACGUGGGUAACCUGCCCAUAAGACUGGGAUAACUCCGGGAAACCGGGGCUAAUACCGGAUAACAUUUUGAACYGCAUGGUUCGAAAUUGAAAG